rnacentral:rRNA from 1 species
GAGUUUGAUCUUGGCUCAGAUUGAACGCUGGCGGCAUGCCUUACACAUGCAAGUCGAACGGCAGCACGGGAGCUUGCUCCUGGUGGCGAGUGGCGAACGGGUGAGUAAUGCAUCGGAACGUAUCCUGGAGUGGGGGAUAACGUAGCGAAAGUUACGCUAAUACCGCAUAUUCUGUGAGCAGGAAAGCGGGGGACCUUCGGGCCUCGCGCUCUUGGAGCGGCCGAUGUCGGAUUAGCUAGUUGGUGAGGUAAAGGCUCACCAAGGCGACGAUCCGUAGCAGGUCUGAGAGGAUGAUCUGCCACACUGGAACUGAGACACGGUCCAGACUCCUACGGGAGGCAGCAGUGGGAAUUUGGACAAUGGGGGCAACCCUGAUCCAGCCAUGCCGCGUGAGUGAAGAAGGCCUCGG